rnacentral:rRNA from 1 species
UACAGAGGGUGCGAGCGUUAAUCGGAAUUACUGGGCGUAAAGCGCGCGUAGGCGGCUUUGCAAGUCGGGUGUGAAAUCCCCAGGCUUAACCUGGGAACUGCAUUCGAGACUGCAUUGCUAGAGUAUGGGAGAGGGAAGUGGAAUUUCCGGUGUAGCGGUGAAAUGCGUAGAUAUCGGAAGGACCAUCAGUGGCGAAAGCGACUUCCUGGACAAAUACUGACGCUCAUGUGCGAAAGCGUGGGGAGCAAACGG